UACGGAGGGUGCGAGCGUUAAUCGGAAUUACUGGGCGUAAAGCGCGCGUAGGCGGUUUGAUAAGUCAGAUGUGAAAUCCCCGGGCUUAACCUGGGAAUGGCAUUUGAUACUGUCUGACUCGAGUGUGGUAGAGGGAAGUGGAAUUCCGCAUGUAGCGGUGAAAUGCGUAGAUAUGCGGAGGAACACCAGUGGCGAAAGCGGCUUCCUGGACCAACACUGACGAUGAGGUGCGAAAGCGUGGGGAGCAAACAGG
rnacentral:rRNA from 1 species